rnacentral:miRNA from 1 species
GAGUUGAGCGUGUGUGUGUGUGUGUGUGUCGCUUCAAACGCACAUCCUGCCCGAAAGGACACAACCCGAA